CCUACGGGUGGCAGCAGUGGGGAAUAUUGGACAAUGGGCGCAAGCCUGAUCCAGCAAUGCCGCGUGUGUGAAGAAGGCCUGCGGGUUGUAAAGCACUUUAAGCAGGAAAGAAGGCUCUGAGGAUAAUACCCUUGGAGAUUGACGUUACCUGCAGAAUAAGCACCGGCUAACUCCGUGCCAGCAGCCGCGGUAAUACGGAGGGUGCGAGCGUUAAUCGGAAUUACUGGGCGUAAAGCGCGCGUAGGCGGUGAGCUAAGUCCGCUGUGAAAGCCCCGGGCUUAACCUGGGAACUGCAGUGGAUACUGGUUGACUAGAGUGUGGUAGAGGGUGGCGGAAUUUCCGGUGUAGCAGUGAAAUGCGUAGAGAUCGGAAGGAACACCAGUGGCGAAGGCGGCCAUCUGGACCAACACUGACGCUGAGGUGCGAAAGCGUGGGGAGCAAACAGGAUUAGAUACCCCUGUAGUC
rnacentral:rRNA from 1 species